rnacentral:tRNA from 1 species
GGGGAUUUGGCUCGGUGGUAGAGCGCUUGCCUAGGAAGCGCAAGGUCCUGGGUUCGAUGCCCAGCCCCG